GGACACAGAAUCAGACACAAAGAUGAGGGAAAGCCAAAAGUCAAGGAAACCAGAUAUCAGGGAAGUCAAAACAAAGCCAAAGUCAAAUACCAGAAAAUCAAGAUCAGGAACGCACUCUCGGAUAACCAUAGGCAUAAAACCACAAUAUGGCAAUGAGAAAAAGGAAAAUUGGGUUUAAAUACCCCUCCUGUGGAUCCGAUUGGUCAUGACCAGCCUUUGACCCCAAAAGUAAUUACCAGGUUUCCAUGUGCAUGAUUGCUGCUUGGCACAACUUUUCCUGUCAGGACAGUAAUGUUGCUCGGCUCAACUUUUCCUGUCAGGACAUUAAAUGCCAUUAACCACAUUUUUAUGUGUGGAUGAAUAUGU